CCCCAGUUUAUGCGGCAAGAGUUCUGCUUGCUGCUUUGGACUACAGUUUCCACCGGAACCGACCAACAAUGAAAAACGUUGGACGGUAAAGAGAUUUUCAGAAGAUUGUAUAAGAAGAACGGUAUGCCUUGAAAUCUGAAAAAACCUACGGAUACAUUUCCGAGUUGCAAAGAAGGAUUGUGAAGAACAGACUCACAAGUGGAGUGGGGAUGCCUAGAAGGAGGAGCCUUCUCCCAGAUGACCCCAGACAGCUUGGUUUGGUGCCCCCCGUACCUGCACCAGCCACAUCAGAAUUGUUGCAGAAACAAGUCAGAAGAGGUCUAGGACCGUUAUUCCAACCAGCAUCUGAUGUGGAAGGAUCCCCACAGGAGAUCACCUUGCAUGUGUCCUGGUACUUGUCAAGCAGGAUCACAAGGGAAAGAACUUCAGUUCACUGACAAAGUCAUAGCUUUUACUCUUCAAAAAGAGAAAUUUAUUAACAUUAAAUUCUGUUCCUACCCUCC